GGAUGUGAGGAUGAUCUGGCUGUGACAUCUGUCAUAUCAUUGAUCGCCAGGGCUGAUCCGGGUGAUGUGGCUGGCUAGGCGGGUGUCCCUUUCUUCCCUCCACACUCCAUCUCAGUUAAUGGGGAUGACCCCUGGAGGACAGUUCCUCCUUUGAGGGUGUAUGAGUAGCUGUGCUCCCCUGCUUAGAACCUCCAAACAGGCUCUCAACUACCGCACAAUCAGACCUCAUGGGGAUCUGGAAUAACAUCAAGAUAUCACAGAAGUUCAGUUUUGAUUGUUUUUGUUCACCAUU
ensembl:misc_RNA 7SK 7SK RNA